GUGAAGAGGGAGGAGCCAGCGCCGAACGGUGCGGCUGGUUUGCUGUUAGGCAAUGUGGUGUGUGGGUCGAUCGGCGGGACCACCACUCCGCUCGAAGUCCAGCAUUGAGUAUGGCAAUCAGUGGAUGUGGCCCAUAGAGGGUGAGAGGCCCGUAGCAGAAGCGAGAGUGGAGGCUCAGGCAAGUGAGGUGGUUCACCA
rnacentral:rRNA from 1 species